rnacentral:rRNA from 1 species
CGAGUGAAGCGGCAACAGCUCAAAUUUGAAAUCUGGCCCCUAGGGUCCGAGUUGUAAUUUGUAGAGGAUGCUUUUGGUGAGGUGCCGCCCGAGUUCCCUGGAACGGGACGCCACAGAGGGUGAGAGCCCCGUCUGGCUGGCCACCGAGCCUCUGUAAAGCUCCUUCGACGAGUCGAGUAGUUUGGGAAUGCUGCUCAAAAUGGGAGGUAUAUGUCUUCUAAAGCUAAAUAUUGGCCAGAGACCGAUAGCGCACAAGUAGAGUGAUCGAAAGAUGAAAAGCACCUUGAAAAGAGGGUUAAACAGUACGUGAAAUUGUUGAAAGGGAAGCGCUUGUGACCAGACUUGGGCGCGGCGGAUCAUCCGGGGUUCUCUCCGGUGCACUUCGCCGUGUUCAGGCCAGCAUCAGUUCGGCGCGGGGGAAAAAGGCUUCGGGAACGUGGCUCCUCCGGGAGUGUUAUAGCCCGUUGCAUAAUACCCUGCGCUGGACUGAGGACCGCGCAUCU